AAAGCAUAGAGAGUAAGGGCUGGGUAAGACGGGUGCCAGCCGCCGCGGUAAUACCUGCAGCUCAAGUGGUGACCGUUAUUAUGGGGCCUAAAACGUUCGUAGCCCGUUUGGUAAAUGCCUGGGUAAAUCGCGUAGCUUAACUAUACGAAUUCCGGAUAGACUGCCAAACUUGAGACCGGGAGAAGCUAGAGGUACUCCUGGGGUAGAGGUGAAAUUCUGUAAUCCUGGGGGGACCACCAGUGGCGAAGGCGUCUAGCUAGAACGGGUCUGACGGUGAGGAACGAAGCCCUGGGGCGCAAACCGGAUUAGAUACCCGGGUAGUCCAGGGUGUAAACGCUGCUUGCUUGAUGUUAGUUGGGCUCCGAGCCCAAUUAGUGUCGGAGAGAAGUUGUUAAGCAAGCUGCCUGGGAAGUACGAUUGCAAGAUUGAAACUUAAAGGAAUUGGCGGGGGAGCACAGCAACGGGUGGAGCGUGCGGUUUAAUUGGAUUCAACGCCGGAAAACUCACCGGAGGCGACGGUUACAUGAAGGCCAGGCUGAUGACCUUGCUUGAUUUUCCGAGAGGUGGUGCAUGGCCGCCGUCAGUUCGUACCGUAAGGCGCUCUGUUAAGUCAGAUAACGAACGAGACCCUCAUCUUUAAUUGCUACUAUUAAGUCCGCUUAAUAGGCACAUUAAAGAAACCGCUGGCGAUAAGUCAGAGGAAGGCGAGGGCAACGGUAGGUCAGUAUGCCCUGAAUCCUCCGGGCUACACGCGCGCUACAAAGGCUAGGACAAUGAGCUUCGACACCGAGAGGUGAAGGCAAUCUCGAAACCUAGUCAUAGUUCGGAUUGAGGGUUGAAACUCACCCUCAUGAAGCUGGAAUCCGUAGUAAUCGCAGAUCAACAUCCUGCGGUGAAUAUGCCCCUGCUCCUUGCACACACCGCCCGUCAAACCAUGCGAGUUGGGCCUGAGUGAGGAUGUAG
rnacentral:rRNA from 1 species